rnacentral:sRNA from 1 species
AGCUGGUGCACUGGUGCUUACGGCUAAGUGAUCACAACCAGUUACUUAAUUUGUUCCUUCUUCUCUCCCACUGCUUUAUUUGACUGGCUUUUA